rnacentral:rRNA from 1 species
AUUGAACGCUGGCGGCAGGCUUAACACAUGCAAGUCGAACGAGCGGCGGACGGGUGAGUAAUGUCUGGGAAACUGCCCGAUGGAGGGGGAUAACUACUGGAAACGGUAGCUAAUACCGCAUACCAUCGGAUGUGCCCAGAUGGGAUUAGCUAGUAGGUGGGGUAAUGGCUCACCUAGGCGCCGAUCCCUAGCUGGUCUGAGAGGAUGACCAGCAACACGGGAACGUAGCCACGGUCCAGACUCCUACGGGAGGAAGCAGUGGGGAAUAUUGGACAAUGGGCGCAAGCCUGAUGCAGCCAUGCCGCGUGUGUGAAGAAGGCCUUCGGGUUGUAAAGUACUUUCAGCGAGGAGGCGUUACUCGCAGAAGAAGCACCGGCUAACUACGUGCCAGCAGCCGCGGUAAUAC